rnacentral:rRNA from 1 species
AGCGGCAGGCUUAACACAUGCAAGUCGAGGGGUAACAGAAUAGCUUGCUAUUGCUGACGACCGGCGCACGGGUGCGUAACGCGUAUACAAUCUACCUUACACAGGAGAAUAGCCCUAAGAAAUUGGGAUUAAUGCUCCAUAGCAAUAUUAAAUCGCAUGAUUUAAUAUUUAAAGCUUCGGUGGUGUAAGAUGAGUAUGCGUCCUAUUAGUUAGUUGGUAAGGUAACGGCUUACCAAGACAGCGAUAGGUAGGGGGCCUGAGAGGGUUAUCCCCCACACUGGUACUGAGACACGGACCAGACUCCUACGGGAGGCAGCAGUGAGGAAUAUUGGUCAAUGGAGGCAACUCUGAACCAGCCAUGCCGCGUGAAGGAAGGAUGUCCUACGGAUUGUAAACUUCUUUUAUUUGGGAAGAAACCUCUGGUCGAGAACCAGGGCUGACGGUACCAAAAGAAUAAGGACCGGCUAACUCCGUGCCAGCAGCCGCGGUAAUACGGAGGGUCCAAGCGUUAUCCGGAAUCAUUGGGUUUAAAGGGUUCGCAGGCUGUUUAAUAAGUCAGUGGUGAAAUCUCGAGGCUCAACCUCGAAACUGCCAUUGAUACUGUUAGACUUGGAUACAGUUGGAGUAGGCGGAAUGUGUAGUGUAGCGGUGAAAUGCUUAGAUAUUACACAGAACACCGAUAGCGAAGGCAGCUUACUAAACUGUGAUUGACGCUCAUGAACGAAAGCGUGGGGAGCGAACAGGAUUAGAUACCCU